rnacentral:rRNA from 1 species
UACGGGGGGGGGCAAGCGUUGUUCGGAAUUACUGGGCGUAAAGGGCGCGUAGGCGGUUCGUACAGUCAGACGUGAAAUUCCUGGGCUCAACCUGGGGGCUGCGUUUUGAUACGUGCGGACUUGAGUGCGGAAGAGGGUCGUGGAAUUCCCAGUGUAGAGGUGAAAUUCGUAGAUAUUGGGAAGAACACCGGUGGCGAAGGCGGCGACCUGGUCCGAUACUGACGCUGAGGCGCGAAAGCGUGGGGAGCGAACAGG